UACGUAGGUGGCAAGCGUUUGUCCGGAUUUAUUGGGCGUAAAGCGCGCGCAGGCGGCUAUGUAAGUCUGGUGUUAAAGCCCGGAGCUCAACUCCGGUUCGCAUCGGAAACUGUGUAGCUUGAGUGCAGAAGAGGAAAGCGGUAUUCCACGUGUAGCGGUGAAAUGCGUAGAGAUGUGGAGGAACACCAGUGGCGAAGGCGGCUUUCUGGUCUGUAACUGACGCUGAGGCGCGAAAGCGUGGGGGAGCAAACAGG
rnacentral:rRNA from 1 species